CUGGCUUUGGAAAUGACUUUGACCUCCAGAGCGGUAUUUAGAAAAGUCAUUAAAAAUUCCAUUGCUAAACAUUGGAGGGCUUCUGGCUUGUAGGGUGAAAGGGCUUGGCUGAAUUUCAGCAAAAACUUAGUAACAUAUUAUGAUAUGAGGAAAGAACAGAAACAAAAGGCUCUGCCUGGGUAACAGGGCUACCAGCUGAGCAACGGACUGAGAAGCUGUUGCUAAGGAGCGAUUCGGAAAGUUAGAGUUCACAUGGACAAAUAAGAGUGGAACCAUAGCAAUUUGGAAGUAUCCUGGAACAUUUAAAAAUUAUAACGAUGGCAUCUGGUGCCCUACGGAGUCUCGCUCUGUCGCCC
rnacentral:lncRNA from 1 species